AAAGAGAUUUUAGAAUCAGGCCGGGGCAUCCGUGCCCCGUUAACUCGGUCGUACAUCCAGCCGGUUGCCUGAUUCCUUGCAUUGAAGCGAUGUACGGAGUUUAUAGAGC
rnacentral:ncRNA from 1 species